rnacentral:lncRNA from 1 species
UUACAUUUAUAGUUGUACAAUGAUCAUCACAACCAAAUUUUAUAGCAUUUCCAUCCCAGAUCCCCAGUGCAUCCCCCACCCCACAACCUGUCUCAUUUGGAAACCAUAAGUUUUUCAAAGUCUGUGAGUCAGUAUCUGUUCUGCAAAGGAGUUCAUUCUGUCCUUUUUUCAGAUACCACAUGUAAGUGAUAGCAUUUGAUAUUGGUAUCUCAUGGUCUGAAUGACUUCAGUUAGCAAGAUAAUUUCUAGGUCCAUCCAUGUUGCUGCAAAUGCUGUUAUUUCUUUCCUUUUAAUGGCUGAAUAAUAUUCCAUUGUGUACAUGUACCACCUCUUUACCCACUCCUCUGUUGAUGGACAUUUAGGUUGUUUCUAUGUCUUGGCUAUUGAAAAUAGUGCUGCAAUGAACAUCGGAGUACAUGUGUCUUUUGCGAGUGGUGGUUUUCUCUGGAUAGAUGCCCAGGAGUGGGAUUGCUGGAUCAAAUGGUAGUUCUAUUUUUAGUUUUUUGAGGAAUCUCCAUACUGUUUUCCACCAACAGUGAUUGUACCAAUUUACAAUCCCACCAACAGUGUACUAGGGUUCCUUUUUCUCCACACCGUCUCCAGCACUUAUUGUUUGUAGACUUUUUGAUGAUGGCCAUUUUGGCUGGUGUAAGGUGGUACCUCCUAGUGGUUUUGAUUUGCAUUUCUCUAAUAUUGAGUGAUGUUGAACAUCUUUUCAUGUGUUUUUUUUGCCAUCUGUAUGUCAUGUCAUCUUUGGAGAAUUGUCUGUUUAGAUCUUCUGCCCAUUUUUAGAUGGAGUUGUUUGUUUUAUUGGUAUUGAGCUGUAGGAGGUGUUUAUAAAUUUUGGUGAUUGAUCCCUUGACAGUUGAUUCAUUUGCAAAGAUUUUCUCUCAUUCUGUGGGUUGUCUUUUCAUUUUGUUUAGGGUUUCCUUUGCUGUGCAGAAACUUUUAAGUUUAAUUAGGUCCCAUUUGUUUAUUUUUUAUUUUUACUGUCAUUGCUCUAAGAGGUGGAUCUGAGAAGAUGUUGCUAACAUUUACGUCAGAGAGUGUUUGGGCUGUUUUCCUCUAACAGUUUUAUAGUAUCCAGUCUAAAAUUUAGGGCUUUAAUCCACUUGGAGUUUAUUUUUGUGUAUGGUGUUAGGAAGUGUUGUAAUUUCAUU